rnacentral:rRNA from 1 species
UCGUCAGCUCGUGUCGUGAGAUGUUGGGUUAAGUCCCGCAACGAGCGCAACCCUUGUUGCUAGUUGCCAGCACGUAAAGGUGGGAACUCUAGUGAGACUGCCGGGGACAACUCGGAGGAAGGUGGGGACGACGUCAAAUCAUCAUGCCCCUUAUGUCUUGGGCUACACACGUGCUACAAUGGCCGGUACAAAGGGCAGCGACCUCGUAAGAGUAAGCGAAUCUCAAAAAGCCGGCCCCAGUUCGGAUUGUGGGCUGCAACCCGCCCACAUGAAGUCGGAGUUGCUAGUAAUCGCGAAUCAGCAUGUCGCGGUGAAUGCGUUCCCGGGCCUUGUACACACCGCCCGUCACACCACGGAAGUUGGGAGCACCCGAAGCCAGUGGCUUAACCGUAAGGAGAGAGCUGUCGAAGGUGAGAUCAAUGACUGGGGUGAAGUCGUAACAAGGUAGCCGU